GCCUGACCUCAGGCAGAUAGCUCAGUCGGUAGAGCAUGAGACUUAAUCCCAGGGUCAUCGGUUUGAGUUCCAUGCUGGGCA